UACCCUGAGUGGCCUUUCAUGUUCUUUCCAUGCUCAGAGUUGUUUGCCCAUAUCACUGAUAACCCUUUAACGAUGUGAAGUUCUCUAACCUACAAGGAGCAUGUUAAUGGGACCAUUUUAAAGACACUGAGGUUGCAACAAAAAUAAUUUAAUCCCGGCCCAUUCCCCUGCUCCAAAAACCCCCCAAAACAAAACAAAAAAAACUUCCCUGACAUUGAAGCAGUAUUGGUGCAUCUGGCCAGUCCUGUUCUGUCCUCAACUUGAGGGCUGUAGUGCAGGGACAGUGGAGGAAAUAACAAGGUGGAGCAAUUUCCAAACACUCACAAUACAGAAACUCUUAUUCUUUUAUUAGCCCCAUGAAGAGCAGGUUCCAUGAACUGCUGAUAGUUUGUAUAGUGCUGUGUGUUACAGAAAGCAACGCCCACCCAUUUUAUGAAAUUUGUGUGCGCAUUUACUUAGGCCUUGUCUUCAUCAGAAGUGGCAAGCAUUUUUAAGUAAAGCUCAAAUUUUAAAUGUCUGUGUUUUAAAGUGGUAUAGGAAGCUGGUUAGGCACUGCUAGGUCGUUCUCUACAUGUGUAAGUUGAUCCAAAUGAAUAUAAGGUGUAAAUUUAAAAGCUGUCCCUGAGUAACUCGAUGAGUGGACACUUCUUUCAAAGUGGGUUAAGCUGAUCAGGAGUGAAGUUUGGAAUUAGUUCAUUUAUGGCAUUAAUUGGGCACAACCUUAGUUGUUGACAUGGCCUUAAUUUGGUUUUAACCAGGUUUAUUUCAUUUUAGUUGAAGUCAAUUUAAUCUGUAGCAAAAUAAGCCCCAAGUGUUGUUAAAUCAAAAUAGGGAUAUUCAGAUGGGGCUCUGCCACAGUUUAACUUAAAUGGUUUUAAAAAAUAGUUAAGUCUGAACUCAUGCAACUUCCUUCUGUCACCAAGGCCCUUUGUAAUUAUCAAGAGCGAAAGAGAUGUGGCCAGGACCUUUCCACCUAGUUCAGCUGUGGAUUUAGGACUAAUCCACACACAACUUUGAACUGGCUUAAUUUAGAGUAGGUAAACUAGUGCAGAUACUAGUGUGGAUGCUCUUAUUUCAGACUAUUUUAGUUUAGUUUAUGCUGAUGCUUAAUCAGUUCAAGACUGAACAGAGGUAAAUCUGGAUUAAAACAAAAUGAGUGUCUCCACAGCCUGUCAUGUACUGGCUUAGCUAAAUCCUUUUAAAAUUGCUCCUUAUGCUCAAUUCUGCAUAUAAUCAAGCUCUUAGUUUAGUUUCUCUAGUUUAAAAUAGAAGUUCUACAGCCAUUCCCUUAUGACGUUUAGGAGAUGUAUGCAUGCUUUUAGCAAGUACAUGUUUCUUUGUCUGCUGCUGUCGUCUUGUUGAUAGCUCAUCUCUGGUGGAUUAUAGAGGAAGAUGGAAGGUCCCGUCAUUUUUCCUAAAACCCUAAAUGCAGGUAGCCCUAACUGCUGGAUUUCCCUGGUUGUUUCUUCAGGCUUUUGGGUGUUGACUGUAUCUAUAAAUGAGGUUAAUUAAAAAAAACCCAACCCGAAACAAACCAAAAACAACUUUUCUCUUUGCAAAAUUAAUUGUUGGAUGUAGCAGCAAAUUAAGAAAAAAGCCCCUUCAAAGGCUUUGUUCUAAUAACGCAAGGCAAAGAUGCUGUUACUGCGGUGAAUGUUCGAA